UAACCUGGUGAGUCAUAGCUUCUUCUGUGAUAUCACAACUAUUGUAGUGACAGCAACUGCCUCUCAGAUAUUCCUGCAGUACCUCUAGGGUUUACUAAUAUCCUCUAAUUCAUAGCAAAUUGGGGUGUGAUAACAAACAGAUUGAAGAGAUUAUAAAUGGGGAGAAGGAAGCUGGCUUUCUGUCUUGGUAUAAAAAAUAAUGAAGAAAUAUGUGGUCCUUUGGAAAGCUCAUUGAGUCCUUGGCAACCACUAAUGAAGCACAAAGAACUCUCUAAUUUUAGAGUGAUGUAGUAAGGAAAGGUUUCCACAGCGUUACAGGAGACUAUCCUUGAAAGAGCACCGCCAAAUCUGGUCAAUGUAAAGAUAGCUUUUUAGCAGGAGACACUCCUUGAAGGGGCACCCUCAAAUCUGGCCAUUAAAGAAAGAAGUUCAGCAGAACCAGAAUUUUACCACAGAUAUACUUUCGGAGUGCGAGCCACUGUUCAGUGCUUUCCUGCUUGGCUUGCUUCAUCCAGUGCCUGUGCUGGUACUGUGACACAAGAAGAGCCUCUUGUCAUCCAUUAAAUGCUGCCUGGCAAAUCCUCUACGAUUUUCUUCACCAUGACAUUUCCAGCCCUUUACAGCUCUCACAAAGGUAGGCUGAGGUCUCCCAUCUGAGCCCUUACUACUGCAAUCUGUUGCCCUGGACUCUGCCAUCCCUGCUGCUGGUUCUGCUGAGGCUCCAGAACCUGGUCAACUCAUUUUAGCCUUGAAUACAGUUUUAAUCUCCUUACAAUUAGCAGUUUUUAUCAGUAAGACUUGCAGUCAGUUGGUAAGACUUGAGAUCCUAUUUCAAUCCUGUCUGUUGCUCAGUGGCUUUAACUUAUGAGUGCCUUGGGUUUUAAUUUAGUGGUUUAGAGUGUUUUUUUGUUUUUGAAGUUUUUUUUUUGUUGUUGUUUUUU